rfam:Methanobacterium sp. AL-21, complete genome.
GGGCCCGUAGCUCAGUCUGGGAGAGCGCUCGGCUUUUAACCGAGUGGUCGCGGGUUCAAUUCCCGUCGGGCCCG